CUGCCGUUCGUGGCUGUCUCAACGCACUGAAAGUGGGUCCCAUCACGCGCUAGCAGUUCACACACACACCUUACCCAAGCACCGCCGUGCACCACGCGCCUUAGAUCUUCUGCCGCCGCCGCCAUUGAAGGUCGCCGCCGCCAUUGAAGGUGGAGACAGUGGACAGCAACUUCGUUCAACAAAGUCGCUAAUACAGGCGCCGCCGCACGCCUCUUCCGGUCCCCCUUAGUUAGUAUCUUCCCCUGUGAGGCUUCGCCUCUCCUCCUCAUUCACCGAUCCAUCGGGAGAGCGCUGUCAUCACGGCUGCAACUGUAAUGGGUCCGCUGGAGUUCUCGUCGGCGUCUGAGGCGGCGACCCUGGACGACUUCUUCAUCUCCAGAAUCUUCAGCGACGAGCACGACAAUGAGCCGUGGAUCCCCGCACUCGCCGGAAUCAUCUGCGGUCAACACGCCUCCAGCAAGCGCGAACUUGAUCGACGUCUGCUUCAUCCACCAGGUAUUAUGUUUGAAAACAGGUCAUGAAGGAAAAACAAAAAAGGUCAUCAUCAUGAGGUCAUGAGAGAGUUGCAAGUUUUUCUUAAUUGUUUGUCUAGAACAAAUAUACUGCAGAAAAGGCAAAGUUGCUAUUGUUAAGUCCUUAUGCAAGUGAACGAUACAAAUGAUAUCUUAUUAAUAGUCAUCCAACAAACUAUUUAACCCAGAGUGUCUGAUUGGCAGGCAUUAAAGAAUGGAUAUCCAAGAAUGGCAUUGGCUGAAAGAGCUUACUACUGACAUUAGCUUGAUCGCUGAGAGCGUUGGUGGGACGGAGCAUGGUGUUCCAACUUCCAACCAUCGUUUAGGCAGGUGGAUGAUGUUGUAACGGAGCUACGGAGAUAGAUAAUGGCAAAUGGCCACUUGUCAUAGUACAUAAUAAACACAUCUCCAAGCUUAUGGAAAAUUCAAAGAAUAGGCAUCUGAUUGAGACUUGGAGAGAAAUGCAGCAUUGUGCACAUCUCAGAGUGGAUCAAACGAUAACUGAUGGAGUCGUUCUGCUGCCUCUCCAGGGACUCUCAGCCUUGUGGGCUUUCUAUCCCCGCCUCCGAUUUCGGUACCGACGUCAUGGUCCUUCCCCGAUGGAGAUGCUCGCCAAGGAUAACUUCCUCCUCGACCUCGCAUACCCUGGAUGGCACCUCGCCCCAUUGCCUCGAUGGAGAUGCUCGCCAAGGAUGACUUCCUCCUCGACCACGCAUACCCGCGCCAACAGCUCGCCCCACUACCCCGCUUCAGGACUAUUAUUCUUCGCUGAUAUAGGCAGUGUCAAGUGCUUCAGAUUUUAUGUGGUGACCAUUGGAUGUUAAUUGCAAUGUUGGUUCUGUGAGGAUCUCGCAGGAGCCUAAGGAAUCAAGUUCACUCCAAUGCAGAAAUACAAUGGAAAAUGCAGCUCAAGGUAAAUCAACUCAGAAAUUUUAGUACCUCUAGAUUUCCUAGGCUCCUUAAAUGCAGUGACAAAGACUGUAACUGUGAAAUAUGAAGACAAUGAAGUUUCCUAUAUCAAUGAACUUGAGUAUAUAAAUUAUGAAUAUGGGCAAAUGUCUGGCAGGUUAGAGUUGAUAAGCAGUAUCUAUAACCAUAUUGCUUGCACAUAAUAUGUUGGUCAAAGUCUCAAGGACCAGGACAUUUUUAAUUUCCAUAUCUUAGAGCUGCCACAGUGCUCCCUGGUGUCUAUUAAAAUGCGUUGUCUGGAAAAUAAUGUGGACGAGGUUAACAAACUGUAUAUGGAUUUGACUCAACUUUUACUGUGAUGUAAUGAAGUUUUAUCAUGCAUUUCCUUUGUUACACUUGAUACUCCCAAAUACGCCAUUGACGAUUCUUUUUAUGUUGAAGAACAGAGUUGGCUCAAAUUUUCCAUGGAGAUUGGGUAUCUAUGGUCUUUGCAUUGACUAGCUAAUGCAUUUGUGUUUUAGCCAUACUUACCAUGUAAAUUAUGGUCAUAUUCAAGUAAUCUAAUAGUACAAUGUGAACCGGGUACUAUCUUUCUGGAUUAUUGUGAACUACAACUCUCAGUGUUCAAAGCUAUUAUUUGUAGACAGAUUGCAUAGCUAGAGUUCUCGAGAAAAUGGCCAAGUGAUGAGUUGGAUCUUUCUUCACGGGCUAAGAUGGAGAUGCAAAGGAAUAAUAGAAGACGAGAAUGGAGAAUAGAAGAGCAGAGGAUUGAAAGUUUCAAUGCUUAAUGCUUAUGAAACUAUUUUCAAUUUCUUAAACUCAGAAUAUUGAUUUUGUGAGCUACUGCGAUUAUGUGCACCGUGCACAUAGCAUUUGAAAUGCUAUAUGAUUACAAAAGAUACAUCAGUUAUAAACUGUGUACUGAAUAAAGCAGCAUUUUUAUA